ensembl:Mt_tRNA tRNA-Gly
AUCUUUCUAGUACUAAAGUUAGUAUAAGUGACUUCCAAUCACCCGGUCUUGGUUAAAAUCCAAGGAAAGAUA